AAGACUCCGUCCGGACCUCAUCCCCGACCUCAACUGCUGGAAGGCUUCGCUCGGACUCCUACGGGAGCCGGGCUCCGCCCUCGACCUUGACUGCUGGUAAACUCCGUCUGAGCUCCUAAGGGAGCCGGACUUCGCCCCUGACUUUGAUUGCAGGUAGACCUUGCCCGGGCUCCUACGGGAGCCAGACCUCGUCUCUGACUUCGAUUGCGGGAAGACUUCAUCCGGACUCUCACGGGAGCCGGACCUCGUCCCCAACUUCGGCUGAAGGAAGACUUCGUCCGGACUCCUACGGGAGUCAGACUCCGGGCUUUUCUCAAGCGGGUAGCUAACCGCGACAACGGAUGCCUCUCCACUCCCCGCGACAGACUCCAUGUGGCAUGUCCCGGUGAUAGCCACGAUUCCACCCCACUACUCUUCACAACAAACUCCUCCUGACUCUGGGCAGCCCACUGCCAGACAGUU
rnacentral:lncRNA from 1 species